rnacentral:rRNA from 1 species
GGUAAUACGUAGAAGACUAGUGUUAUUCAUCUUUAAUAGGUUUAAAGGGUACCUAGACGGUAAAUCAAGUCCUAAAAGGAUACUAAUUUACUAGAGUUUAAUGUGAGGGGGCACUAAAGUACUGAUAAGUGUAGAGAUGAAAUUCUGUGAUACAAUAUACGGCACUGGUAAAGGCGAAAGCAUCUCNUUAUGUAAUAACUGACGUUGAGGGACGAAGGCUAGGUGUANCAAAAAGGAUUAGAUACCCAAGUAGUCUUAGCAGAAAAUUAUGAAUGUCAUAGGAUAGAAAAAGGGACAAAAUUUUUUUUUUCUAUAAAUGAAAGUGUAAGCAUUCCACCUCGAGAGUAAUUUGGCAACAUUGGAACUGAAAUCAUUAGACCGUUUCUGAAACAAGUAGNGAAGUAUGUUGUUUAAUUUGAUAGNCCGCAAAAAACCUUACCACAAUUUGAAUAGAAAAUUUUCUUUCAUACAANCGCUGCACGGUUGUCUUCAGUUAANGUCGUGAGAUCUUGGUUAGUUCCAUUAAAUUAACGUAAACCCUUAUUUUAUUUUUAUAUAGAGUAGUUCACCGCUAGAUUGGAUGUGAUAACAGGGACUAAGACAAGUCAUCAUGGCCUUAAUAUUGUGGGCUAUA